GAUGAACGCUGGCGGCGUGCCUAAUACAUGCAAGUCGAGCGAACAGACGAGGAGCUUGCUCCUCUGACGUUAGCGGCGGACGGGUGAGUAACACGUGGAUAACCCACCUAUAAGACUGGGAUAACUUCGGGAAACCGGAGCUAAUACCGGAUAAUAUAUUGAACCGCAUGGUUCAAUAGUGAAAGACGGUUUUGCUGUCACUUAUAGAUGGAUCCGCGCCGCAUUAGCUAGUUGGUAAGGUAACGGCUUACCAAGGCAACGAUGCGUAGCCGACCUGAGAGGUGGAUCGGCCACACUGGACCUGCGACACGUCCAGACUCCUACGGGAGGCAGCAGUAGGGAAUCUUCCGCAAUGGGCGAAAGCUUGACGGAGCAACGCCGCGUGAGUGAUGAAGGUCUUCGGAUCGUAAAACUCUGUUAUUAGGGAAGAACAAAUGUGUAAGUAACUAUGCACGUCUUGACGGUACCUAAUCAGAAAGCCACGGCUAACUACGUG
rnacentral:rRNA from 1 species